GAUGAACGCUGGCGGCGUGCCUAAUACAUGCAAGUCGAGCGAACAGACGAGGAGCUUGCUCCUCUGACGUUAGCGGCGGACGGGUGAGUAACACGUGGAUAACCUACCUAUAAGACUGGGAUAACUUCGGGAAACCGGAGCUAAUACCGGAUAAUAUGUUGAAUCGCAUGGUUCAACAGUGAAAGACGGUCUUGCUGUCACUUAUAGAUGGAUCCGCGCCGCAUUAGCUAGUUGGUAAGGUAACGGCUUACCAAGGCAACGAUGCGUAGCCGACCUGAGAGGGUGAUCGGCCACACUGGAACUGAGACACGGUCCAGACUCCUACGGGAGGCAGCAGUAGGGAAUCUUCCGCAAUGGGCGAAAGCCUGACGGAGCAACGCCGCGUGAGUGAAGAAGGUCUUCGGAUCGUAAAACUCUGUUAUUAGGGAAGAACAAAUGUGUAAGUAACUAUGCACGUCUUGACGGUACCUAAUCAGAAAGCCACGGCUAACUAUGUG
rnacentral:rRNA from 1 species